AGUAUCGGUCAACAGCUGUUUUAUAAAAAUAGAGGAAAGUCCACGCUAACACAAUCUGAGAUGAUUGUAGUGUUCAUGCUGAAUCUAAUAAAUUCAGGCUUAGACGACUAGUGCCACAGAGACGAGAAUUGUGAAACGCGGUAAACUCCAUGAGUUAGAAACCCAAAUAACGGUAGGGGAACUCUUUUAAGAGAAAUGAAUCAAAAAAGAGAAUUUAAAUAUUAAUAUUUAAAUUAGAUAAAUUGUUGACAUCUUAUUGGAAGAACAAAACGUGGCUUAUAGAU
rnacentral:RNase_P_RNA from 1 species